rnacentral:rRNA from 1 species
AUGUACGCGCCACCACCAGCACCACACGCGGCGGUCCACCCGUGGCAGAGCGGCGGCGGCGCCACGGCCUCCGACCAGCCUCCCCCGCACGCGGCGGUCACGGGCGGCACGGUGUCGUACGCGGACCUGGCCGCGGCGACGGACGGGUUCUCGGACGCCAAGCUGCUGGGGCAGGGCGGGUUCGGGCACGUGUACCGCGGCACGCUGGGCUCGGGCCCGGCGGCGCGGGAGGUGGCCAUCAAGCGGCUCCGGGCCGGCAGCGGGCAGGGCGAGCGCGAGUUCCGCGCCGAGGUGGAGAGCAUCGGCCGCGUGCACCACCGCAACCUCGUGUCGCUGCUGGGGUACUGCAUCCAUGGCGACCAGCGCCUCCUCGUCUACGAGCACGUCCCCAACCACACGCUCGAGUCCCACCUGCACCACGGCGGCGACGGGCCGACGCUGCUGGACUGGGAACGCAGGUGGCGGAUCGCGCUCGGGGCGGCCAAGGGCCUCGCCUACCUGCACGAGGACUGUCAUCCUAAGAUCAUCCAUCGCGACAUCAAGGCGGCAAACAUCCUUCUGGAUGACAACUUUGAGCCCAAGGUCGCCGACUUUGGGCUGGCCAAGAUCCAGCACGGAGACGACAGCCAUGUUUCUACGCGGGUGAUGGGGACCUUCGGGUACAUGGCGCCGGAGUACACCAACACGGGAAAAAUAACCGACCGGUCCGACGUCUUCUCCUUGGGCGUCGUGCUUCUGGAGAUCAUCACCGGCAAGAGACCGGUCCUGUCCGACGAGCCCGACGAGGACGACGAGACUCUGGUCUCUUGGGCACGGCCUCUGCUGACAAAAGCUCUGGAGGGGCAACUCACCAUGGAGCUCAUCGACCCAAGGCUGGAGGCCAACUACGACGCCCACGAGAUGCAGCGGCUCAUCGCCUGCGCCGCCGCCGCCGUGCGCCACACGGCCCGCUCCCGCCCCCGAGUGAGCCAGAUCGUCCGGUACCUGGAGGGCGAGCUACCGCUGGAGGCCCUCAACGGCGGCGUGGAGCCGGGGCAGAGCGAGGCGCACGACGCCACCACCACAGAGCAGCUGCGGCGGAUGAGGAGGAUGGCGUUCCUGCAGCGGGGCGCCGACAGCGGCAACACGGGCGCCACCGGCUUCGUCAGCGAGGCCACCAGCGAGUACGGGCUGUGCGCCUCCAGCUCCAGCAGCGACGGCGACGCCGCGCAGAGCACGAGCCGCGCGCCCGGCGGGCAGCACCCCGGCCAGGCGAGCUACGCCGCCGGCAACAACGUGGGCAGGGCGGGGCGGCACUCCGGCGACCUCGGGGCCAUGAGCCGGCGCACGCGCCCGGGCCGCGCCGGCCUGGAGUAA